AGUUGGCGUUUUAUUGGAAUUAUUCAAGAAAACUUUCAUGUCAUCCUGAAAUAACUCAACUGAAUGAUUUGACUAUUCUUUCUGACAACCACUCAGUGGUCAGGGGUUUUUUCCCCAUUCAUUGUGUGCCCUGUUUCAACUCACCCAGGAUGGCGAGCUACCGGAUCACCGCAGCAUUGCGGACCCAUGGUGUUUGGGAGCACCAUGAAAGAUGUAACCGACCUUCUGAAUAGAUUCUCACAUCUUGCAUGAAGCAUAGCUUUUUGUCUGGUCUUGUUGUAUGUUGGACAUAUGUUUUGUUGUGGCCCACUCCAAAUGCUGAAGAAGAAGAAGCCUGACGACGCCUGAAGAAACUUAAAGCCUGAGAAAAAUAGGACGAGAAAUAGGAGCAUUUAAAAGUAUGCUUUUAAAGCYUGACAUAUCAUGCUUUUAAAUGCUUAAAAAAAACAUUUAAAAGUAUGAUAUGUCUCAUUUAAAACAAACACCAGCAGGGUAAGAACAGUGUGACUCAAGAUUCUACACAUUUCUGGUUGAGAUUUGCAGGAACAACCAAUUUACUCGAUAAAACACAUGGAUUACUGGGUCGUUUUAUCUGAUAAAGUUGCACAUAAACAGUUUUGCCUUGGAUAUCCAA